rnacentral:rRNA from 1 species
GAAGUUGGAGUCGCUAGUAAUCGCAGAUCAGCAACGCUGCGGUGAAUACGUUCCCGGGCCUUGUACACACCGCCCGUCACGUCAUGAAAGUCGGUAACACCCGAAGCCGGUGGCCUAACCCCUUGUGGGAGGGAGCCGUCGAAGGUGGGAUCGGCGAUUGGGACGAGGUCGUAACAAGGUAGCCGUACCGGAAGGUGCGGCUGGAUCACCUCCUUU